UACGUAGGGGGCUAGCGUUAUCCGGAAUUACUGGGCGUAAAGGGUGCGUAGGUGGUUUCUUAAGUCAGAGGUGAAAGGCUACGGCUCAACCGUAGUAAGCCUUUGAAACUGAGAAACUUGAGUGCAGGAGAGGAGAGUAGAAUUCCUAGUGUAGCGGUGAAAUGCGUAGAUAUUAGGAGGAAUACCAGUUGCGAAGGCGGCUCUCUGGACUGUAACUGACACUGAGGCACGAAAGCGUGGGGAGCGAACAGG
rnacentral:rRNA from 1 species